ensembl:lncRNA
GUUUAAUGAAACAGUCAGUGAAAAAGAAUGACUCUUGGAAGAGUGGAUAAAACAACGGCAAGAAUGGCAGGUCCUAUUGAUAGAUGGUUUCUAUCAAUAAACAGAUCUGUUUCAAGUGAGCUACAUGGCAGGAACAAAAGGCAGGAGAGGCCUUGGAGGAGACACAGGAUGAACGUGGAGCGCAGCUGGAUCAGAUCAAUCACGCUUCAUGGCCAAGAAUUAUGGAAAACCUCCAGAGAGGUUCAUUGUUGCAGAAAUCAUCGUGUAGACUUCAGAUACAGCCCGCAGUGUCCGUCACUUGGUGCUUGUCUUGAGGAAAUGCUGCAGAGGAGCCUGUUUGGAUAUCAGCUGGAGAAUUAACCUGGUCAAGUUGGCUCUGCUGAGUUCAUAGCAGGAUGAGACUGUAAGAUGACAGGCCGUGUACUCAAAAACAUCAGUAAAAAGAGAAUAAAGUGGGACAGUGGAGGUCACUUACUGAAUGGAAA